GUACUGACCUAGCGGCGGACGGGCUGAGUAUACUUAGGAAUCUGCCUAUUAAUGGGGGACAACAUCUCGGAAAGGGAUGCUAAUACCGCAUACGCCCUACGGGGGAAAGCAGGGGAUCACUUGUGACCUUGCGUUAAUAGAUGAGCCUAAGUCGGAUUAGCUAGUUGGUGGGGUAAAGGCCUACCAAGGCGACGAUCUGUAGCGGGUCUGAGAGGAUGAUCCGCCACACUGGGACUGAGACACGGCCCAGACUCCUACGGGAGGCAGCAGUGGGGAAUAUUGGACAAUGGGGGGAACCCUGAUCCAGCCAUGCCGCGUGUGUGAAGAAGGCCUUAUGGUUGUAAAGCACUUUAAGCGAGGAGGAGGCUCUCUUGGUUAAUACCCAAGAUGAGUGGACGUUACUCGCAGAAUAAGCACCGGCUAACUCUGUGCCAGCAGCCGCGGUAAUACAGAGGGUGCGAGCGUUAAUCGGAUUUACCUGGGCGUUAAGCGUGCGUAGGCAGCUUUUUAAGUCCGAUGUGAAAUCCC
rnacentral:rRNA from 1 species